rnacentral:rRNA from 1 species
AUGCCUUACACAUGCAAGUCGAACGGUAACAGGCCGCAAGGUGCUGACGGAGUGGCGGACGGGUGGAGUAAGGACGUAGGAAUCUGCCCACGAGAGGGGGACAACCUGGGGAAACUCAGGCUAAUACCGCAUACGCUCGCGAGAGGAAAGCGGGGGACCUACGGGCCUCGCGCUGGUGGAAGAGCCUACGUCCGAUUAGCUAGUUGGCAGGGUAAAAGCCUACCAAGGCGACGAUCGGUAGCUGGUCUGAGAGGAUGAUCAGCCACACUGGGACUGAGACACGGCCCAGACUCCUACGGGAGGCAGCAGUGGGGAAUAUUGCACAAUGGGCGCAAGCCUGAUGCAGCAACGCCGCGUGAGGGAUGACGGCCUUCGGGUUGUAAACCUCUUUUAGUAGGGAAGAAGCGAAAGUGACGGUACCUGCAGAAAAAGCACCGGCUAACUACGUG